rnacentral:rRNA from 1 species
UGGUGGAGUGAUUUGUCUGGUUAAUUCCGUUAACGAACGAGACCUCAGCCUACUAAAUAGUCAGACGAACUUUUUAGUUCGUUGUGACUUCUUAGAGGGACUGUCGGUUUUGAGCCGAAGGAAGUUUGAGGCAAUAACA